rnacentral:rRNA from 1 species
CAAUAGCGUAUAUUUAAGUUGUUGCAGUUAAAAAGCUCGUAGUUGGAUUUCGGAUGGGAUUUGCCGGUCCGUCGUUACGAUGUGCACUGGCCAGUCCUAUCUUGUUGUCGGGGACUAGCUCCUUGGAUUCACUUCCUGGGACUAGGAGCUGACGAGGUUACUUUGAGUAAAUUAGAGUGUUCAAAGCAAGCCUACGCUCUGAAUACAUUAGCAUGGAAUAACACGAUAGGACUCUGGCUUAUCUUGUUGGUCUGUGAGACCAGAGUAAUGAUUAAGAGGGACAGUCGGGGGCAUUCGUAUUUCAUUGUCAGAGGUGAAAUUCUUGGAUUUAUGAAAGACGAACUUCUGCGAAAGCAUCUGUCAAGGGUGUUUUCAUUA